GGUUUCUUGCCCUUAUCAAAAAGAGAGCAUGAAGCUACACUGACUGAACAUCUUCACUGAUGGGGCACUAGCAGGUGUUGCCUCCAAUGCCCAAUUCAGCCUCAGGCCUUUGGCAGCCUCCACCUGAGGUGGUCACCUAGGGAAUUAAGCCGAAAGACCUUUAGCAGACUGCGGGCUUAUCUCUGAAAGAAGUUCCCCUAGAAGUCCAGAUGGGAUACAACUACACCCACGACAACACCUACUGCUUGAGGACAUCCGCAGACAGAGGAGCCAUUGGUGAUCUUCCCUCCUGACUUGCUCCUGACUCUUCCCUAACUUCUCAAUGUUUAUGUUAUGCAAAUGUCAUUGUAACCUAGAGAUC